rnacentral:rRNA from 1 species
GACGAACGCUGGCGGCGUGCCUAACACAUGCAAGUCGAACGGACAGGCCAUGCUUUUGUGCGGUGCACGAGUGGCGAACGGGUGAGUAACACGUGAGUAUCCUGCCCUUGUCUUUGGGAUAACUUUUGGAAACUGGGGCUAUUACCGGAUAGGAGCUCCUGAUGCAUGGUGGGGGUUGGAAAGUUUCGGCGGUUGGGGCUCGAUUAGCGGGUUAUGAGCUUGUUGGUGUGGUAGGUGCAUACCAAGGCUUUGACGGGUAGCCGGCCUGGGAGGGUGACCGGCGUCAUUGGGACUGAGGUACGGACCAGACGCGUACGGGAGGCAGCGGUGGAGAAUAUUGCGGAGUGGGCCGAAGUCUGAGACAACGGCGUCGGGUGCGUAAUGACCGCCUUCGGGUUGUAAACCGCUGUCGCCUGAGACGUGGCGUGAGUGACGGUAAUGGGUAAGAAAGCACCGGCUAACUACGUG